AGUGAACGCUGGCGGUAGGCCUAACACAUGCAAGUCGAACGGCAGCACAGUAAGAGCUUGCUCUUACGGGUGGCGAGUGGCGGACGGGUGAGGAAUACAUCGGAAUCUACUUUUUCGUGGGGGAUAACGUAGGGAAACUUACGCUAAUACCGCAUACGACCUACGGGUGAAAGCAGUGGAUCUUCGCACCUUGCGCGAUUGAAUGAGCCGAUGUCGGAUUAGCUAGUUGGCGGGGUAAAGGCCCACCAAGGCGACGAUACGUAGCUGGUCUGAGAGGAUGAUCAGCCACACUGGAACUGAGACACGGUCCAGACUCCUACGGGAGGCAGCAGUGGGGAAUAUUGGGCAAUGGGCGCGAGCCUGAUCCAGCCAUACCGCGUGGGUGAAGAAGGCCUUCGGGUUGUAAAGCCCUUUUGUUGGGAAAGAAAAGCAGCAGGUUAAUACCCCGCUGUUCUGACGGUACCCAAUGAAUAAGCACCGGCUAACUUCGUG
rnacentral:rRNA from 1 species